rnacentral:rRNA from 1 species
UACGGAGGGGGCUAGCGUUGUUCGGAAUUACUGGGCGUAAAGCGCGCGUAGGCGGACCUGCAAGUCGGGGGUGAAAGCCCGAGGCUCAACCUCGGAACUGCCUUCGAUACUGCGGGUCUCGAGUCCGGGAGAGGUGAGUGGAAUUCCUAGUGUAGAGGUGGAAUUCGUAGAUAUUAGGAAGAACACCAGUGGCGAAGGACGGCUCACUGG